UACGUAGGGGGCUAGCGUUGUCCGGAAUCAUUGGGCGUAAAGCGCGUGUAGGCGGCCCGGUAAGUCCGCUGUGAAAGUCCAGGGCUCAACCCUGGGAUGCCGGUGGAUACUGUCGGGCUCGAGUCCGGAAGAGGCGAGUGGAAUUCCUGGUGUAGCGGUGAAAUGCGCAGAUAUCAGGAGGAACACCAAUGGCGAAGGCAGCUCCGCUGGGACGUGACUGACGCUGAGACGCGAAAGCGUGGGGAGCAAACAGG
rnacentral:rRNA from 1 species